ACGGGUGGUAAUGCCGGAUGUUCCAGUUGAUCGCAUGGUCUUCUGGGAAAGCUUUCGCGGUAUGGGAUGGGGUCGCGUCCUAUCAGCUUGACGGCGGGGUAACGGCCCACCGUGGCUUCGACGGGUAGCCGGCCUGAGAGGGCGACCGGCCACAUUGGGACUGAGAUACGGCCCAGACUCCUACGGGAGGCAGCAGUGGGGAAUAUUGCACAAUGGGCGCAAGCCUGAUGCAGCGACGCCGCGUGAGGGAUGGAGGCCUUCGGGUUGUAAACCUCUUUUAUCGGGGAGCAAGCGUGAGUGAGUUUACCCGUUGAAUAAGCACCGGCUAACUACGUGCCAGCAGCCGCGGUAAUACGUAGGGUGCAAGCGUUAUCCGGAAUUAUUGGGCGUAAAGGGCUCGUAGGCGGUUCGUCGCGUCCGGUGUGAAAGUCCAUCGCUUAACGGUGGAUCCGCGCCGGGUACGGGCGGGCUUGAGUGCGGUAGGGGAGACUGGAAUUCCCGGUGUAACGGUGGAAUGUGU
rnacentral:rRNA from 1 species